rnacentral:rRNA from 1 species
UAGGGAAUAUUGGACAAUGGGGGCAACCCUGAUCCAGCCAUGCCGCGUGAGUGAAGAAGGCCCUCGGGUUGUAAAGCUCUUUUGUCCGGAAAGAAAAGCUUCGGGUUAAUACCCCGGGGUUCUGACGGUACCGGAAGAAUAAGCACCGGCUAACUUCGUGCCAGCAGCCGCGGUAAUACGAAGGGUGCAAGCGUUACUCGGAAUUACUGGGCGUAAAGCGUGCGUAGGUGGUUGUUUAAGUCUGAUGUGAAAGCCCUGGGCUCAACCUGGGAAUGGCAUUGGAAACUGGGCAGCUAGAGUGCGGUAGAGGGUAGUGGAAUUCCCGGUGUAGCAGUGAAAUGCGUAGAGAUCGGGAGGAAUAUCUGUGGCGAAGGCGACUGCCUGGACCAGCACUGACACUGAGGCACGAAAGCGUGGGGAGCAAACA